rnacentral:rRNA from 1 species
UGUAGUCUGCAACCCGACUACAUGAAGCUGGAAUCGCUAGUAAUCGCGGAUCAGAAUGCCGCGGUGAAUACGUUCCCGGGUCUUGUACACACCGCCCGUCACACCAUGGGAGUCGGAAAUGCCCGAAGUCUGUGACCUAACCGUAAGGAAGGAGCAGCCGAAGGCAGGUCGGAUGACUGGGGUGAAGUCGUAACAAGGUACC